rnacentral:rRNA from 1 species
CCUACGGGGGGCAGCAGUCGAGAAUCAUUCACAAUGGGGGAAACCCUGAUGGUGCGACGCCGCGUGGGGGAAUGAAGGUCUUCGGAUUGUAAACCCCUGUCAUGUGGGAGCAAAUUAAAAAGAUAGUACCACAAGAGGAAGAGACGGCUAACUCUGUGCCAGCAGCCGCGGUAAUACAGAGGUCUCAAGCGUUGUUCGGAAUCACUGGGCGUAAAGCGUGCGUAGGCUGUUUCGUAAGUCGUGUGUGAAAGGCGCGGACUCAACCCGCGGACGGCACAUGAUACUGCGAGACUAGAGUAAUGGAGGGGGAACCGGAAUUCUCGGUGUAGCAGUGAAAUGCGUAGAUAUCGAGAGGAACACUCGUGGCGAAGGCGGGUUCCUGGACAUUAACUGACGCUGAGGCACGAAGGCCAGGGGAGCGAAAGGGAUUAGAUACCCGGGUAGUC